AGGGGUGGGGCUCUACUGUUGUGUGUGUCACGAGGUGAUGGGCAACAGAGAGAACAGUCUCAAUAGUCUCACGUGCUUCCACAUAUUUCAUUCAAGGUGCGUGGAGAAUAGCACAUUCAAGACGAGAGGCUGUCCAAACUGCAAGAAGACUUCCCACCUCUCAUCGCCGGUACCAGUAUAGCAUCAUCCAACAGGGCUCUGCACCCCUCAGAGAGGUGUAAAGAUCACCCCCCCCCCCCUCUUCCACCACUCUCACUUCUACUACUAUCUCUUAUAGUAAACUGUGUUAGCAAUCGUCACUUUGGUGGAUCUCUUGAAGAAGACUUUGCACCUUUCCUCCACGGUUACGGUGUGGCAUCAUCUACGGUUACGGUGUGGCAUCAUCUACGGUUACGGUGUGGCAUCAUCUACGGUUACGGUGUAGCAUCAUCCGACAAUCCAGGAGUCCCUCAGAGGGGUGUAAAGUUUACCCCCCCCCCCCUCAUCUAAGACCACCACCAUCACUACUACCCCUCCGUGACCAUCCCUAAACUGCGUUGAUGGGACUUUUGAUCCACCAACGGUGUGCUUUUACAGGACAUUGCUUCGAAAAUGCAUUUUUAGCUUGAGAUGAUUGAAAAUUUUAAGUAAAUAAAGUGUUAAUGAUGAAAGUGUAGGCCUAUUGACUUUGAUAUAUACCUUGAAACAACUGGGAAUGAAUACCAUAAUGCAAUGAUGAUGAAAAAGUUAUCCAUUAUGGUUUUGCACAUAACAAAAUUAUUUAAAAUGUCAACGAGCACAUUAGCCUGACGUUUGCUCCUUUCGCCAUUAUAGACUCAAAUGACAUAAGAACGAAUUGCACAAUGUUAGUGCACCUUCUCUUAAGAGGGAAAAAAUCGAUAAAAUACAAUGUUUUUUCGUAAAGAUAUACUCACUGCGCCCUGUGCCCCUGUUGCAUAAAAUUUACUAUUGAUGGUAAACUUUGCCAUCAAUGUCAACUACCAUGGUAACAGGGCUCAACAGCCAAUAGAAAUCAAGGUUUUCAUGGUAGUUACCAUUGGUGGCAAAGUUACCAUCAAUGAUAAGUUUUGUGCAACGGGGUCCAGGACUUGAACCCUAAACUUCUCGACUGGAAGUCAACUGCAUGAAACAGUAGGCCUACACAAAACUACACAACAAUGCUAGUACAGAAUAAAUUUCCCUUUACUUUGUGAAUCUUGAGAUAUCAAUAUGGAAUCAUUCUUGGUGGGCUCUAAAGCCUCUCCAACAUUUAUAAAUAUGCUUGGGAAAGGGGGUGGGGGUAUCGUACCCCAAAAAG